CUAACGACUUUGAGAAUGCAAAUAUCACAAUUGCUAUCUAGCUAAAAUCUACUUAGUGAAAGUGUUUCCUCACCAUCAUUUUCAUGAAUCGGAGAGAAACCUUAUGACACUUAGAUUUAAUGGUGUAUGUGUUCUUAUCCAUGUGAAUUGUCAAAACCAUAGUCACAAGACAAGGAUAAUGACAAAUCCAAACUCAUAUGGACUGAACUCAAUCUUAAUUUCUUGCCACCUGGCAGCUCAAGGGCCUACCAUUGCUUCCAAGUUGUUGUGCAACAAAUUGAGAACUCUAAGAACUCAUAUGCAAAACCAACUUUAACUGGAAUGGGCACAGAAUAUGUCAACACGAUAGGUUAUGAACCUCAAGUUGUGUGCUAGUGAAGAACUUUAGGUUUUAUUCUUGAUUAGUUCUUGAGACUUUCAAGACUUUUAAGACUCCCACUGACCUCUUGACCUAUAAGACUCCCUUGUCAAAUAUCCAAGAGAUAGUGUGGAUUCUAAUCAAGACAAACACUUCACACAAUUGGCCUAAGUUGGUCUUUGUUUUAUCCAAAACAUCACAACUUACCAAUUUCAAAUGUACAAGAGUAGAAAACUUUUACUCUUACAUUUGACAAGUGUUUUAAACCUUCUUUAAGACAUGUCACUCAAGUUACAAUCUUGGAGUAUGACUCUAAGACUUGUAUUGGAACGAAGUAUGACUCAUCUUCUUGAUUUAACCAUUUCAACAAUUCAAGUUCCUCUUCUUAGUCAUAAGAAUGCACUAAGAUUUCCUUAGAGAACUAAUUUUGAUAUGGUUUCUUAAUCAUUAAGAUGAUCACAAAACUGAUACUAAAGUACUCUCCCAUCUUUUCAGAUUUGAGAAACUUUUAUCCUUCUGCCUAAUUUGAUUCUUCUUAUUCGCUCUGCCAUACAUUGGAACCUUUUCCAAUGUCUCAGAGUUACACUUAAGCUUGUAAGUAUAAUCAUAUUUACUGAGCUUUAGUAAACUAUGACGAAUAGUCUUAUCAAUCUUUUGUGGUGGACUUAAUCAGUGCACAAGAAUGUGUACUCGAUCCCUUAGUCCUUUACUUGACUCACACAUCCAUGUGGCCGAGUAAUUAGUCUUAAUUUUCCAAAACUUGAAAGUUCUCAUUCAUCAUGCUAUACAACUUGCAUGAUUCCAAGUUCCGGUCCAAUUGAAACUUGGGUGAUGAGAAUCUUUCCUUAUUUGGUAAAUCUAGACAUUACCACAAAUGAAAGAAUCAAUUUCAUAUUUCCACUCUUGCUCUUAAUGGAAUCAUAUAAGCAACAAUUUUUCCUCAAAUGCCAUUGUAAGGAUAUUUUAAAAUAAAUAAAAUCAAAAAUUUUCUUUUAUUUUAAAACUUUGCGGAAAAACUUAUCCUUACAAUCCAUAUGAAAACUUGUUGUUAUCUAUUCCUAAGCAAUAUCUCAUAACUCCUAAGAAGUUGCUCAAGAAUCCGAUCUUCAAACUAUGCGAUAGAAAUCCAUCUACGCCAUCAGAUUCAGCAUAUUCUUUCUUUAAGUUUCUUCACUUUUCUUUGAUUCUUAAAACAUCACCAUGUGACCCAGUCACAUCAUGUAUCAGGAAUCUCAGAAUAGAAACUUAACAGAGUUAGAUAGUGGACUUUACCUGAAGUAGAGUCAAACUUAUUGACUUUAACAUCCUUAGGUAAAUUUGGCAGCUUCGCAACCAAUGCCCCUUCCUUUGGCAAUAUAAACAUAUGGACCCUUUGAUAAUGGUACACGAGACUAUCACAGACUUAGCUUUUCUCUUUACCAUUUGGUCAACCGAGUUGACUAUGGCCGAUCCCUUUCCAUUGGGAAGAGAAUGCUUUACUGGAUAUCCAAUGUCAUCAUUGUCAAUGUCCAUAAAGUUUUAGGAAGUUGAUCUUAGCAAAUAGAUAAGAUCAUUAAGGGUCUUGUCAUAGUCUGUUUCAUAGGUGUCCCAAAGGAACUCACUAUGUGACUUAGAAAGUGAUUGAACCACCAACUUUCUCAAGACUUUGACACCCAACUCUCCCGGCUUGUCAAUAUGUGACUUCAUCUCCAAGAUGUGAUCACACCUAGACCUUGCCUUGCCAAUAGGGCUUGAGUGACCUUGAACUUGUGGGUUAGGGAGAAUAAUUGGAGGAGGUGGAGGAAGUGAAGUUCCAAGAUAUUUGGGAAGAUCAUAGAUGUCUGAACUAGACAUCUUUUGGGAGAUAUUCAAGAUAGUUGAUUUAAAGUCCUUAAUAUAACACCCAAUAUGAAAUAUUAAGGCUAGGACCCAACAAACUAUUUUAUAACUUAGAAGAGGUAUGCCGUAAUCCAAGCUAUAAAAUAUUUGAAGGUAGGUGAAUGACGAUUCACCAAUUUCCACCAAGAUAAACGAAAUGUAUUAUUAGGUUUUAAUUGGUUUUGAAACUCCUAGAUCUUUGAGAUUCAUUGAACUGUUCAAUGGCAUGUUUCAAUCUCGAGUGUGCCCUUCAGGUUUUGUGACUGGGAUGCCGAGGAUCACAAAACAAGGUGUGAAGUAACCAUGCAAAUUACUUGGUACCCUUAAGUGUUUACCCCUCAAUCGAUGUGCCGGUUAACCACACACGCUCCAUCGAUACUAUGAUAAACAUUAAGUUAUCCUUUGGCUACCUUCUUAAAUACGAGUUAGUUUGCCGAUUAGCCACACACGCUCCACUAACCGACAUAACCAUAAUGCAAAGUGUAAUUUCAUGGAUUAGCACCUUAUUCACAUUUUCCUAAGUAACUAAGAUUGGGUAUUUAUAAAAGGUUUAGUUACUUAGUAUUUAUCAUUAAUACUUUUAAUGAAGGGAGAAUUAUAGUCCUGUCAAACCCGUUCGGCUAACGAUCCUCCACAGUCAAGGAAACGGUGGGUGAGAGUGGACACCCAUUAAACUACCAUUUUAUAGGCAAUAACCUUAUACCCCCUUUAUAGACCAACUUCGUGAAUGAGGCCACUAACGGUAAGACCGACUUUACUCUUAUACAUAUAUCUAAAUAUUAUUAACUUAUAAUAUUAUAAAGUAUAAGGGUUGAAUUUUAACUUUUAAAAUUCUAAGGGCUAACUUGGAAUUAAAGUAUUCAUAAGAGAAAACUUUACAAAUUCCAAAACUUGAGGGCAAGUUUUGAAACUAUUCAAAACUAAUUAAUUCCAUAACUUAUGUGUUUAAAGUAGUUUUAAUCCAAAAACUCUUCAAGUUCCAUAACUUGAGGACAAGUUAUGGAAGACUUUAAACUAAUAAAAGAAUUAACUUUUCUUUAUUUUNUUUUGUAACCUUUGCCAACUUUUAUGAGUUUUAUGAAACUUAAAUGUGACUUUUCAUAUAACUUGAGGACAAGUUACAAAAACACAUUUUAGAAUCAACUCUUAGAUUAAUUUGGAUUGAAAAAAAAUAUUUCACUCAACUUUUCUAUUAAUCUAAGCAAGACAUAAGAACAAGAUAAUUCAAAUCAAACUUUUUCAUGUAAUUAGUCUAAACCUUAAACUAAUACAAAACAUGAAUCUAUUGACAAUUAUCUUUGAAAUUGGAUUAGCAUGAACAUUACCACAUCAAAAACAAGUUUAUAAGUUCAAAAACAACUUAGGGUAAUGUUCCUAGUCCAUUUCUAGCCAAAAAACUCGAAUUUAUGCUGUCUGGGGGUCCAACUCGUCGAGUGCAUGAACCAACUCGGCGAGUUGGAUCGAUUUGAUCACUUUUUAGGCAUGGACUCGCCGAGUCUAAUGAUCAGACAACAAACAACUUCGAUUUUUUUAAGCAGUUUUUACAAGUAUAACAAGAAAACAAGCCUAGGCUCUGAUACCACUGUUGGGUUUUGAGCAUUCUAACACUCCUAAGUGUACAUGCAACCCUAAAUACCUUGGAUCUAUGUUUUCUCUAUUAUACAUGCAAAUAAGAACAUCCAAGGUAUUAUCCUAAUCUAGCAUACAAAACAAUGAAUAUAGCAAGAUAGAAUACAUACCUCUUUGAUGUAGAAAGUCUUCAUGAAGCUUGAGUGCCUAGUGCCCCAAGUGUGACACCUCAAAUGGUUCACACAACACCAAAUACACUUGGAAUAACUUGAGAGAAAUCUACACUUCAUGAAAAUCGGCUAGCCCUCUCUAGAAUGAUACUAGUCCCCGAUUUUGUCAAGAAUAAGAUCUUUAUAUAGUGUUACAAUUAGGGUAAACCCUAAUUGUCAUGACUUUCCAUUUCCUUGGAUCCAUGGGUUCAAAUACACCAUGGAGCAUCCAUGGACCAUCCUAUGGGUUUUAGCCCAACUUGAUUAUCCAUGGAGCAUUAGCCCACUAUACAAGUAUGGAUGAUUUACACAAUCAACCCAUAUAUUUAAUUAGUCUUCUUUUGAUCACUUAAUUAAUCCUAGAUUAAUUCUUGAUCAAUACUAAUUAAAUAAUCUUAUUAUUCUUAUUAUUAAUAUACUAGAACUUAUAAUAUAUUAAUAACCAUAAGUGUCUUAUUUCUCUCAUUAUAGUCUAUCCAAGUGCAUGAUGCCAUGCAACCCAAAUGGACCAUGCCGGGUCGGGUCAAGUCUUACCAAUUAUAGUUAUGGACUUAGACAUUAAUCCAACAGUCUCCCACUUGGAUAAGUCUAAAACUAUUAUUGCGUAUGACUUCAGGAACCAACUGGCAAUCGUAGCUCUCAAAAGCUUCUGUCGAACUCUGACCUUGUAGAUGAACUCUGACCUUUGUCAAUGACUUGUCCAUUAGAUAAGGGAUCAUAUAUUCCUCCAUUCUAGAUAUCAUAUGGACUGAGACAUGGAUUAUAAUCAUUCUCUCUGUCCAUUUGUUGUUUCCCGAUUUCCGAUUUAUGACGACUGACUAAUUGAACAAAUCAAAUCAGUCCUGGCCCGGCCGAGCACUUCCAUUUGUCAUCAUCAAAUCAUCGAGGGGCCCACAGAUAUCGCUUUUAUCCCGAAGGUAAAAGGAAUGGAUAAACUUCGACUCAUAUGGCUUGUUCUACUACUUGUUGAAUCAUACACAAAGGCACGUUUUAUAGCACCGAGUUACCAAAUGCGUUUUCGUGCAAUCAAUGUACUAUCAACUCAUAGUAACAACUCAUAUCUCUAGGUUUGAAGAAUAUAAGAUAUUAUCGUCUCAUGAUCACUCGUGAUAAAAUCCAUGAAGUGAUUCCAAUGAGCGCGGGUUGAAUCCAAUACUCAGAACUUAUGAGCACUCAUGAGUGUUGUAGCCCUUUGUCCAACACCUUAGACCUCUACAAGCCAACCCAUGACAGUCUUAAUUCAUAUCUACUUCCAACAUAUGACCGACUGUGGAUGGUUUGAAUAACUUAGUCAUUCCGGAAGAAUAACCUAGUUUAUUCGGGAAGUCAAAACAUGCAAAGUGAAACACAAUAAUAAUUGAAUCCAAUAUGGUAUCAACCCUUUGAACAUAAAUAAAACACCUUUUAUUUAUCACCAUAUGAUUACACAUUAUUCAUUGUAUACUGUUUCAGCUAUCAACUUUAUUCUUGAAUUUAAAACAAUAGUUGUCCCAUGCUCCAAGCAUGUACACUAUGUUUUCUUAAACACUAGUCAUGCCACACACCAAGUAUGCAUACUAUGUUUGUCUAUGAUCUUUACUUUGUGAACUAGAUCAAUUGAACAUAACUUCAAUGAUUCUCUUUUCACACUCCCAAAUCCUUACUGCAAAUGCAAGAAUUCCAAAUUCAUGCCAUUUACUGAAAUCUGUUAGAUUCUAAACUUAUAUGCAUUGAUCCUCUUGUAAUGAUUAUGCACAAAGUCAGAAAGACUUGACAACAAUCAUUACAGAGUAUUCCAAAGGAGAUCAGCUCCUUGGAAACAUCCUUCUUGCAUUAAGUUUCCUAAUCUUAAACAGAUUGAAAAUUCUAACUUUGAAACAUUUCCAGAUUCCAUUUUGACUAUCACUUCUGAACAAGAGUUGCCUCCUUACAGAUUAUGUCAAUAUGGUCCUUCCAGAAUUAUCACUAUACUUCCAACUGUCCUUGAGCAACCAAUCUUUGGUAAACCUUAGAUUGUCCUCGACAAUUGUUUAAUCCUUUUAGUCAUAUCCAGUUCUAAACCUUUUCCCUUCUUAAUGCCCCAGGCAUUUGGAAAAUUUUAGAACGGAUGAAUAUAGCACAUGUAAUCGAUCCUAUAUCCGAAGCAUAUGGGACACGAUUCAUGAUGUCUCACAUAAAGACUAAACCAGUCUUUUGCUAUAACAUUUCCAUUUCAAUUUGCCAAGUUCUCAUAAUUCAGAUUAUGAAAAGGGAUGCCGUAAUCAUAAUCGAAUUUUAGAACGCAAAUAAUGGACCCAUAUACAGAAUUUCCUUAUGUUGAGCCAUUCCAACAUGAAAUUCAUAUAUAUCCUUGACUAAAUGAUUAAAACCUCACGAUCUAAGCUUAUAGAUUUGAGAUGAAGUAUAAUUUCCUCUCCCUUAAUUAUAGCAAAACAACUUUUUCCCAAUUGAAACUUUUGUUUUCUAUAAUUAACAUUGCUAACUUGCAAUACUUAUCAUAAUUAUCAUGCUCCCACUAACAUGAUGAUUAUUAGCAUAACACUUAUGCUCCCACUAGCUUUGACAUGUACUCAGAAAUCAGCUGGACUUCUAGAAAUCAAUACUUCAUUGACUUUCUUACCAAAGUUCAGAUUUCUGAUACUAGAUUGUUUUGAUAAAACUUUAUCAAAAUCAUACACCUUCCCUUAGAUAGCACACUUGUGUAUCUAAACAAUUAUGAAGAGGGAUGCCGUAAUCAUAAUGUUUAGACCUUUUUGCCACUUCUCACAAGUCCAGGUUAGUGUGCCGGUUAACCACACGCGCUCCACUAACGACUUUGAGAAUGCAAAUAUCACAAUUGCUAUCUAGCUAAAAUCUACUUAGUGAAAGUGUUUCCUCACCAUCAUUUUCAUGAAUCGGAGAGAAACCUUAUGACACUUAGAUUUAAUGGUGUAUGUGUUCUUAUCCAUGUGAAUUGUCAAAAUCAUAGUCACAAGACAAGGAUAAUGACAAAUCCAAACUCAUAUGGACUGAACUCAAUCUUAAUUUCUUGCCACCUGGCAGCUCAAGGGCCUACCAUUGCUUCCAAGUUGUUGUGCAACAAAUUGAGAACUCUAAGAACUCAUAUGCAAAGCCAACUUUAACUGGAAUGGGCACAGAAUAUGUCAACACGAUAGGUUAUAAACCUCAAGUCGUGUGCUAGUGAAGAACUUCAGGUUUUAUUCUUGAUUAGUUCUUGAGACUUUCAAGACCUUUAAGACUCCCACUGUCCUCUUGACAUAUAAGACUCCCUUGUCAAACAUCCAAGAGAUAGUGCGGAUUCUAAUCAAGAAAAACACUUUACCCAAUUGGCCUAAGUUGGUCUUUGUUUUAUCCAAAACAUCACAACUUACCAAUUUCAAAUGUACAAGAGUAGAAAACUUUUACUCUUACAUUUGACAAGUGUUUUAAACCUUCUUUAAGACAUGUCACUCAAAUGACAAUCUUGGAGUAUGACUCUAAGACUUGUAUUGGAACGAAGUAUGACUCAUCUUCUUGAUUUAACCAUUUCAACAAUUCAAGUUCCUCUUCUUAGUCAUAAGAAUGCACUAAGAUUUCCUUAGAGAACUAAUUUUGAUAUGGUUUCUUAAUCAUUAAGAUGAUCACAAAACUGAUACUAAAGUACUCUCCCAUCUUUUCAGAUUUGAGAAACUUUUAUCCUUCUGCCUUAUUUGAUUCUUCUUAUUCGCCCUGCCAUACAUUGGAACCUUUUCCAAUGUCUCAGAGUUACACUUAAGCUUGUAAGUAUAAUCAUAUUUACUGAGCUUUAGUAAACUAUGACGAAUAGUCUUAUCAAUCUUUUGUGGUGGACUUAAUCAGUGCACAAGAAUGUGUACUCGAUCCCUUAGUCCUUUACUUGACUCACACAUCCAUGUGGCCGAGUAAUUAGUCUUAAUUUUCCAAAACUUGAAAGUUCUCAUUCAUCAUGCUAUACAACUUGCAUGAUUCCAAGUUCCGGUCCAAUUGAAACUUGGGUGAUGAGAAUCUUUCCUUAUUUGGUAAAUCUAGACAUUACCACAAAUGAAAGAAUCAAUUUCAUAUUUCCACUCUUGCUCUUAAUGGAAUCAUAUAAGCAACAAUUUUUCCUCAAAAGCCAUUGUAAGGAUAUUUUAAAAUAAAUAAAAUCAAAAAAAUUUUCUUUUAUUUUAAAACUUUGCGGAAAAACUUAUCCUUACAAUCCAUAUGAAAACUUGUUGUUAUCUAUUCCUAAGCAAUAUCUCAUAACUCCUAAGAAGUUGCUCAAGAAUCCGAUCUUCAAACUAUGCGAUAGAAAUCCAUCUACGCCAUCAGAUUCAGCAUAUUCUUUCUUUAAGUUUCUUCACUUUUCUUUGAUUCUUAAAACAUCACCAUGUGACCCAGUCACAUCAUGUAUCAGGAAUCUCAGAAUAGAAACUUAACAGAGUUAGAUAGUGGUCUUUACCUGAAGUAGAGUCAAACUUAUUGACUUUAACAUCCUUAGGUAAAUUUGGCAGCUUCGCAACCAAUGCCCCUUCCCUUGGCAAUAUAAACAUAUGGACCCUUUGAUAAUGGUACACGAGACUAUCACAGACUUAGCUUUUCUCUUUACCAUUUGGUCAACCGAGUUGACUAUGGCCGAUCCCUUUCCAUUGGGAAGAGAAUGCUUUACUGGAUAUCCAAUGUCAUCAUUGUCAAUGUCCAUAAAGUUUUAGGAAGUUGAUCUUAGCAAAUAGAUAAGAUCAUUAAGGGUCUUGUCAUAGUCUGUUUCAUAGGUGUCCCAAAGGAACUCACUAUGUGACUUAGAAAGUGAUUGAACCACCAACUUUCUCAAGACUUUGACACCCAACUCUCCCGGCUUGUCAAUAUGUGACUACAUCUCCAAGAUGUGAUCACACCUAGACCUUGCCUUGCCAAUAGGGCUUGAGUGACCUUAAACUUUUCAAGAACUUGUGGGUUAGGGAGAAUAAUUGGAGGAGGUGAAAGAAGUAUGAUUUCCAAAGGACAUCAUCUUCAUUUAGGAAACCUUGUUUCACUAGAUUUGGGAAGAUCAUAGGUGUCUAUUACAGACAUCUUUUGGGAGAUAUUCAAGAUAGUUGAUUUAAAGUCCUUAAUAUGACACCCAAUAUGAAAUAUUAAGGCUAGGACCCAACAAACUAUUUUAUAACUUAGAAGAGGUAUGCCGUAAUCCAAGCUAUAAAAUAUUUGAAGGUAGGUGAAUGACGAUUCACCAAUUUCCACCAAGAUAAACGAAAUGUAUUAUUAGGUUUUAAUUGGUUUUGAAACUCCUAGAUCUUUGAGAUUCAUUGAACUUUUCAAAGGCAUGUUUCAAUCUCGAGUGUGCCCUUCAGGUUUUGUGACUGGGAUGCCGAGGAUCACAAAACAAGGUGUGAAGUAACCAUGCAAAUCACUUGGUACCCUUAAUAAAUUACCCCUCAAUCGAUGUGCCGGUUAACCACACACGCUCCAUCGAUACUAUGAUAAAUAUUAAGUCACCCUUUACCUACCUUGUUAAGUCCAAGUUAGUGUGCCGGUUAACCACACACGCUCCACUAACGACUUAGACAAAGUGUAAAGUGUAAUUUCAUGGAUUAGCACCUUAUUCACAUUUUUCCUAAGUAACUAAGAUUGGGUAUUAUUAAGAGUUUAGUUACUUAGUAUUAUCAUUAAUACUUUUAAUGAAGGGAGAAUUCUAGUCCUGUCAAACCCGUUCGGCUAACGACCCUCCACCAGUCAAGCAAGCGGUGGGUGAGAGUGGACACCCAUUAAGUUGCCAUUUUAUAGGCAACAACCUUAUACCCACCUUAUAGACCGGCUUCGUGAAUGAGGCGUACUAGCGGUAAGACUGACUUUACUCUUAUACAUAUAUAUAUUAUUAACUUAUAAUAUUAUAAAGUAUAAGGGUUGAAUUUUAACUUUUAAAAUUCUAAGGGCUAACUUGGAAUUAAAGUAUUCAUAAGUGAAAACUUUACAAAUUCCAAAACUUGAGGGCAAGUUUUGAAACUAUUCAAAACUAAUUAAUUCCAUAACUUAUGUGUUUAAAGUAGUUUUAAUCCAAAAACUCUUCAAGUUCCAUAACUUGAGGACAAGUUAUGGAAGACUUUAAACUAAUAAAAGAAUUAACUUUUCUUUAUUUUAUAACUUAUGGAAUUAAUUAAGGUUACACUUUUUUUUUUUUUAUUUUAUUUUAUUAAAUGAAGAGACUCUUGGUCCUCCAUAACUUGAGGACAAGUUAUGGAGUCAUAAAACCAUUUAAUUAGAACUAGACUCUUCAUUUUUGUAACCUUUGCCAAUUUUUAUGAGUUUUAUGAUUCUUAAAUGUGACUUUUCAUAUAACUUGAGGACAAGUUACAAAAACACAUUUUAGAAUCAAUUCUUAGAUUAAUUUGGAUUAAAACCAACUAUCACAUAAUUUUAUUCAUUAAUCUAAAUUCACUCAUAAAACAAGGUAACACAAAAAACUUUUGGUGAUCCAUAACUUAUUCUUAAGUUAUGGAAUCCUUUAAAACAUUAACACCAAAUUUUGUAACUCCAAAAAAACUUUGAAUCAAUUUUUUUUUUAAAACCUUUUCAUAUCCAUAACUUAUGGAGGUUUCAAAAAAUAAAACUCUUUAGAUCAAACUUUUAAAACUAAUAAAAUAAUCAUAUUAUUUUAUCUUUUAUUAAAUUUGACCUAAUUCAACUCAUAAAGCAAAUUAUUCAAAUUUUACAAAUAAUUAGUUUUUCACAAGAACAAGUAAUUAUCUUAAAAUUUGACAAACUUCAUGUUUUUUUUUUUUUUUUUUUUCAACUUUGAAAAUAAAAUAUUUGCAUCAAUAUAACAGAAAACAACCCGUGGCUCUGAUACCACUGUUGGGUUUUGAGCAUUCUAACACUUCCUAAGUGUACAUGCAACCCUAAAUACCUUGGAUCUAUGUUUUCUCUAUUAUACAUGCAAAUAAGAACUUCCAAGGUAUUAUCCUAAUCUAGCAUACAAAACAAUAACUAUAGCAAGAUAGAAUACAUACCUCUUUGGUGUAGAAAGUCUUCAUGAAGCUUGAGUGCCUAGUGCCCCAAGUGUGACACCUCAAAUGGAAUCACAAUCAUCAAAACACUUAGAAUGACUUGAGAGAAUUCUACACUCAUCAAAAUCGGCUAGCCCUUUCUUCAAUACUACUAGUGGCCGAUUUUUCCUCAAUAAUAAGAUGCUUAUAUAGUUACACAAUUAGGGUAAACUCUUAAUUGUCAUGGCUUUCCAUUUCCUUGGAUCCAUGGGUACAAAUACACCAUGGAGCAUCCAUGGACCAUCCUAUGGGUUUUAGCCCAACUUGAUUAUCCAUGGAGCAUUAGCCCACUAUACAAGUAUGGAUGAUUUACACAAUCAACCCAUAUAUUUAAUUAGUCUUCUUUUGAUCACUUAAUUAAUCCUAGAUUAAUUCUUGAUCAAUACUAAUUAAAUAAUCUUAUUAUUCUUAUUAUUAAUAUACUAGAACUUAUAAUAUAUUAAUAACCAUAAGUGUCUUAUUUCUCUCAUUCAAGUGCAUGAUGGUAUGCAACCCAAAUGGACCAUGCCGAGUCGGGUCAAGUCUUACCAAAUAUAGUUAUGGACUUAGACAUUAAUCCAACAAAGACAAGGGUAAUGACAAAUCCAAUCUCAUAUGAACUGAACUGAAUCUUAAUUUCUUGCCACUUGGCAGCUCAAGGGCCUGCCAUUGCUUCCAAGUUGUUGUGCAACCAAUUGAGAACUCUAAGAACUCAUAUGCAAAGCCAACUUUAACUGGAAUGGAAAUAGAAUAUGUCAACACGAUAGGUUAUAAAUCUUAAGUCAUGUGCUAGUGAGGAAUUAUGAUAUCCUGGUCUAUUCCAAGACCAAGGAGUAACAUGAGGAGCACCUUCGGGAGCUACUAGGAAUUCUGAGAAGGGGGAGGCUUUAUUCCAAGUUCUCG
rnacentral:lncRNA from 1 species